rnacentral:rRNA from 1 species
CUGGCGGCGUGCCUAACACAUGCAAGUCGAGCGAGAAACCUUGAUGACGCUCGGUUGAUUCAAAGGCGGAAGCGGCGGACGGGUGAGUAACGCGUAGGCAACCUGCCCCUUGCAGAGGGAUAGCCUCGGGAAACCGGGAUUAAAACCUCAUAAUGCUGAUCCUACACAUGUUGGACCAGCCAAAGAUUUAUCGGCAAGGGAUGGGCCUGCGUCUGAUUAGCUGGUUGGUGGGGUAACGGCCUACCAAGGCAAUGAUCAGUAGCCGACCUGAGAGGGUGAUCGGCCACAUUGGAACUGAGACACGGUCCAAACUCCUACGGGAGGCAGCAGUGGGGAAUAUUGCACAAUGGGCGAAAGCCUGAUGCCAGCAACGCCGCGUGAGCGAUGAAGGCGGAUUCGUCGUAAAGCUCUGUCCUUGGGGAAGAAGAACUGACGGUACCCUUGGAGGAAGCCCCGGCUAAAUACGUGCCAGCAGCCGC